rnacentral:snRNA from 1 species
ACUGUUAGCUGGCAGGGGAGCUACCGUGACCUUGAAGAUGGUUCUCCCAUGGUGAGGCAUGCCCUCUGCACUCCUUAUGUAUGCACGUCCCCAAAUGCAGGAAAUUCAACUGGAUCAUUUGGGAGGGGGGCUGAAUUUGUGCUUCCCCCUA